rnacentral:misc_RNA from 1 species
CUUUCGAUCCAUCGCCUUCUCCAAAUCCUCUGAAUUCUCAAUUCUCCGAUUCGCCGGACGAUCGUACGGUUAAUUUUUUCCGGCAAUGACUCUGCUCACGCCUCCUCCGGUAGAUCCAGAAGACCACGAAAUGCUUGUUCCUAGUUCUGACUUUCCUACCGAGGGACCCCUGCCUGUGGAAGUUUUGGCAGGUGCACCAGCAGACACAACAAAUACGGUUGAUGCACAAGCGGUGGAUGAUCCGGCAUCAGCCCGGUUCACAUGGACUGUCGAAAAAUUUUCGAGGUUGAAUGUGAAGAAGUUGUACUCUGAUCCUUUUAACGUAGGAGGAUUUAAAUGGAGGAUUCUGAUAUUCCCAAAAGGGAACAAUGCAGACCAUUUGUCAAUGUAUUUAGAUGUGGCGGAUGCUGCAACAUUGCCUUAUGGUUGGAGUAGAUUUGCUCAGUUUAGCUUAGCUGUUAUCAACCGAAUGAAUAACAAGUUAACAGUAAAGAAAGAUACUCAGCACCAGUUUAAUGCAAGGGAGAGUGACUGGGGUUUCACAUCUUUCAUGCCUUUAAGUGAAUUAUAUGAUCCCAGCAGAGGUUUUAUUAUGGAUGAUACUGUUAUUGUUGAAGCUGAUGUUUCUGUUCGUAAGGUUGCUGAUUACUGGUCCCAUGACUCU